rnacentral:hammerhead_ribozyme from 1 species
AUCCAUCUGACCAGUCCCAAACACGACGAAAUGCACUUCCUGGAU